rnacentral:lncRNA from 1 species
GGUUUACACUGUGAAGUUGUUAUCUUAUACGGAGCCAUGCUGUCCACAUAUUAUUCAAAGAUACAGCCUCGCUUGAUUUUGAAAUUUGGAUUUCGGAUUUCCAAAGAUGGAUGUUCAGUGAAGAGUCCCCACAGCUUCCCUGGGUGAAGUAGAGCUACCUGAGCAGAACCAAAUUCAUCCCCAGCUAUUGUCAGCAGAGCCUGGCCUAGGGUCACAGAAAGGACUUACUUCAGAGUGAAAAAAAUUUGGAGUCUUUCUAGCAGAGGAUUGAGCUGUAAGCUCUCUGGAGUUUAAGUUGGACAACUUAUCUGUCUCACUGAGUACAUUCCUAUUUCUGGCAAAUAAUGAAACAUUAUGACUUCACAAAGCAAACCAGUGAAUGUAAUUAUCUCCAUUCAUCUCUCCCUUUUCUCUGAGAGAAAGCUAGCCUGGGCCUCAACAUCGCUCAGAAGGAAAUGUUUAUAGGAAUUUGUCUUCAAUCAGGG